rnacentral:rRNA from 1 species
AACGAACGCUGGCGGCAUGCCUAACACAUGCAAGUCGAACGAGACCUCCGGGCCUAGUGGCGCACGGGUGCGUAACGCGUGGGAACCUGCCCUUAGGUUCGGCAUAACUCCCCGAAAGGGGUGCUAAUACCGGAUAAUGUCUUCGGACCAAAGAUUUAUCGCCUUUGGAUGGGCCCGCGUUGGAUUAGCUAGUUGGUAGGGUAAAAGCCUACCAAGGCGACGAUCCAUAGCUGGUCUGAGAGGAUGAUCAGCCACACUGGGACUGAGACACGGCCCAGACUCCUACGGGAGGCAGCGGUGGGGAAUAUUGGACAAUGGGCGAAAGCCUGAUCCAGCAAUGCCGCGUGAGUGAUGAAGGCCUUAGGGUUGUAAAGCUCUUUUACCCGAGAUGAUAAUGACAGUACCGGGAGAAUAAGCUCCGGCUAACUCCGUG